rnacentral:piRNA from 1 species
UNGGAGUAUUGCAACUGGUUCAGCCCAUU